rnacentral:rRNA from 1 species
GCGCCCCGCAAGGGGAGCGGCAGACGGGUGAGUAACGCGUGGGAAUCUACCCUUUUCUACGGAAUAACGCAGGGAAACUUGUGCUAAUACCGUAUGAGCCCUUCGGGGGAAAGAUUUAUCGGGAAAGGAUGAGCCCGCGUUGGAUUAGCUAGUUGGUGGGGUAAAGGCCUACCAAGGCGACGAUCCAUAGCUGGUCUGAGAGGAUGAUCAGCCACAUUGGGACUGAGACACGGCCCAAACUCCUACGGGAGGCAGCAGUGGGGAAUAUUGGACAAUGGGCGCAAGCCUGAUCCAGCCAUGCCGCGUGAGUGAUGAAGGCCCUAGGGUUGUAAAGCUCUUUCACCGGUGAAGAUAAUGACGGUAACCGGAGAAGAAGCCCCGGCUAACUUCGUGC